rnacentral:misc_RNA from 1 species
AAGUCGUAACAAGGUUUCCGUAGGUGAACCUGCGGAAGGAUCAUUAACACGUAUCCAACGUUAAACAACCCUGUGAACUUUAAGCCCCUCUUGCAGCCCAGAGGAACAGCAAUCCCGGUAAAUCAUUGCCAAACAGUUUUGAUUCGGACCUCUGCCGCCUAGUGGUAACGCGCUAGGUAAAAAAAACCGAACAACUGUUAACAAUGGAUAUCUUGGUUCUC